rnacentral:rRNA from 1 species
GACGAACGCUGGCGGCGUGCUUAACACAUGCAAGUCGAACGGAAAGGCCUCUUUCGGGGGGUACUCGAGUGGCGAACGGGUGAGUAACACGUGAGUAACCUGCCCUUGACUUUGGGAUAACUUCAGGAAACUGGGGCUAAUACCGGAUAGGAGCUCCUGCUGCAUGGUGGGGGUUGGAAAGUUUCGGCGGUUGGGGAUGGACUCGCGGCUUAUCAGCUUGUUGGUGGGGUAGUGGCUUACCAAGGCUUUGACGGGUAGCCGGCCUGAGAGGGUGACCGGCCACAUUGGGACUGAGAUACGGCCCAGACGCCUACGGGAGGCAGCAGUGGGGAAGAUUGCACAAUGGGUGGAAGCCUGAUGCAGCAACGCCGGGUGCGGGAUGACGGCCUUCGGGUUGUAAACCGCUUUCGCUCAUGACGAAGCUUUGUGUGACGGUAGUGGGUAAAGAAGCACCGGCUAACUACGUG